GCCGGAAAAUGUAGUGUGUAAGCCGAUCAGGAAGCAGGAGAGGAUUUGCCGUGCUAAAGCGGUGUUAAAAUCGAAGAAAACGAUGCAGCAGAGGGAGCCUUUAAACUUUUACUUUAGAUAUACAUUUGAUGCUCCUCUCAAUGAGUCCCCUGCAGUACUAUAUUCAUCUCUCUCUCUCUCUCUCUCUCUCUCUCUCUCUUAAACAAAAGAACAAUCCCUCACAGAAGCAAGCUCUUUCAUAACUUGCAGGCUUCAUUUGAUCAAUACUUGGAAGAUGAACACAGGGUUUUUAAAGCGAUUUUUCCGGACACAGCGAAAACCCAAACAAAAGAGGUGCCUAAUGUUCAUUUUCUUGUGCUAAAUAUUAGUAUAAUCUAUAUCCUAAAUUUCUAUGCAAAUUUGAACUUCUUCUCAGUUCUUUGUCAUCCUUUAUCAGUUGGGUGAAAGUUAAUUAAUGACAAAAUCACGAGAAGGAAAAUUUUGUCUUGUAACCGGUUGUGUGUCCCCUUAGAAUGCUACGCAGUCAUGUAAAGAGAGAGAUAUACAUGCGUGAAAGAGAGAUACACAAGGAAAUAUCUGACAAGGAUAGCUCGAUUUUCCCCCGGGAGAAGGGAGGCUUCCCAGUUAACUAGUUUAAGAAUGAAUGUGUUUUUGCAGGAAGAGUGGAGAAUUCACAUGCCGGCCAUGCAAGUCUUGUUCCUGUCUGUCUACCUUGCAUUAUAUGUAAAGUUGAGAUGCAAAUCCAUGGGGAAAGACUACCCUCCUCAUGUUCCUCACCACAUCUCCAAGAUUCUUGAGCUUGACGUUGUAAGCACACCAUAAUCCAUAAUGCGCACAGGCACACACACACAAUCCUCCUUGUAGCCGAGAUCCCGCUCAACUGUAGAUGGAAUGGAUACAAAUUAUUGUUGUUAUCCACUACUGAUAUAUCGUUCAUGUUAUAUCGACAAUAAUACAACUGUUAAUAUGUAAGGAUCCCUCUCAGCUACAAUGGAGCGGGAGCGGGAUCCCAUUUAAUACGGUGACAUUUAUUUUUUCUUUUGUGUAGACUAGAUGGGAAAUCCGAGGCAUUGCUGGGUAUGAUCCAAGUGACAUCAACCUUAGCGUCAAAGGAACCAUAUUUUCAGAUAGACAAGGAACACAAAGCUGGCUCAGAAACAUAUUCGACAUAAACUUAAGCUUCAUCGUACCACCUCUCCUCGCUUGGGUCCCAGACAAUACCAUGCAAAGCAUUACAGAAUCGGUGAGUUCUUCAAAACCCCGCCAUGAUAUGUGUUUGAUGAACUUUAAAGGGCAAGUACAUAUAGUAACCGAAUCAAUGUUUUCAACUGAAAUAGCUCGUGAAGACGGUGAUGGCCAAUCUGAAGUCGAAUGCAAUGUUGCUAGCAGUAGCAGAUUAUGAGAAGUUCAAAAAAGAGAAGCUCAAAACUGCAGUAAAUUCUAAGAAAUUAAGGGGCAGCUAAAAGAGAAGGGAGAAUUUGCUUAUAAAAAUAACAAAAAUUAAAAAAAAUGGAGAUGCAGGGGAUCGAACCCUGUACCUCCCGCAUGCAAAGCGGGCGCUCUACCAUUUGAGCUACAUCCCCUGUUACAACUUUCUUUCUAUUGUAUUGUGAAAACUCAUAUAAUAAAUGUAUCACACACAGAGAUAUCCUAAACUACUAUUCCGAUGAGAAAUAUUAAAGACUUUUUAGCUACAAAACUUCAUGAAAUUGUCAUAAUUUAUCACUUUGGUUUUUGAGAUUUAAUAUCAAUGUAAGUGGUUUAUGACAUUGUCCAUUAUCAAUCUUUUUAGUCAUUUUGUGAAAAAAUCUAUGUUAAAUUGAAGAAACCACCAAUUUAAGUGGAGGGAUUGAUUUGACAAAAAUAUCAAAUUGAGAUUUUUCACGGAAUGAUCAAAAUAAUUGACAGUGGACAAUCUUAGGAACGAAAGCGAGAGAUUAUGCCAAUUUCAGAAACCAUUUUGACUAAAAAACCAAAAUAAAAAACUACUUUAUUCUAUUACGAUAUAAAUUCAGUCACAUGUAUGAUAAUUGUUCUAAUCGGACAAGUUUUAAAUGAACCGACAAAGUAUUGAUUUUCACUCUCCUUUUCUCAUUCUCCUGCAAUCUUUUUUCUUGUGUUUGUCCAUUGAUCCUUCUCAGUCUUUGUAUCAUCUCAUCCAACUUCAUGUAGCUCUCCAUUGUAUUCGGGUGCGACAUAUCUCCUGCACUGAGCUGAUGAACUUGGCCACCAAUAUAAACUGAACUUAUUCCGGGAAGCUUUCGUAAACCCUUAUACCUAAAAUCCUGCCUCAGUAAGUUUGCCUUAUCCUGCUUUCCACCUUAAGCAUUACAUGUUGGAAAGCAGGACGUGAUAAUCUGUGUUGUGGGGUUCCAUUUGAACCAGCUCUUGCAGAAGGCUUUCACCAAGCUCUAGCUUUCCAUGGACUCUGCAAGAACCGAGAAGGGAACCCAAAACCACCUCGUUUGGACGCAUUGGUUGGCAUUUGCUUGAUCAAUACUUCAGCCUCUUCCAAUUACCAGCCCUGCCUAGAAGAUCCACCAUACACGCACAGUGUUCGAUCUGAGGUGUUGCACCAUGUAACGCUUGGAGAUUAUAAAAGUAAUGCCGGCCCUGAUCAAAAAGGCCCGAGUGGCUGCAAGCAGUUAACAAAGCAAUGAAGGUUAAUUCGUCUGGCUUGGCUUCCUCGAGCAUUUGAGGAAACAUAUUCAGAACUAGUUUUCCCCUUCCAUGCAUUGCCAAACCACCGUGCAAAGCAUUCCAUGUCGCUUCGUUCCUUCGGUGCAUUUGCUCAAAAACUUUUAACGCAGUGUCCACUGUACCAAAUUUCGCAUACAUAUCAACCAAUGCUGUGCCAACCAUGAUGUCAAUCUCAUUCUCCAUUGUCUUUAAAGCAUAAGCUUGAACCCAACUGCCCGUCACCCUAUCGCCGGAUUGUGCACAUGCUGAUAAAAAUGAGCAAAGGGUGACAAAAUUCAAGUUCAAGAACACCCGAAAACCUUUUCUCCAAGAAACGAAAAGCUUUCGCAGAUAAGCCCAAUACUUGGAUAUCCAACAAUCAUGAUCGUCCAAGCAACCUCAUUUCUCUCAUUCAUUUGAUCAAACACCACUCUCCCAUUUCCAACACCAUCCAAUUUAACCACACCGUCCAAAAUUGCAGUCCACGACACUACACUCCGCUCCUCCAUCACUUCGAACACCCGUCUUGCCAUACCCAAUUGGCCACAGUUGACCUACAUAUCCAUCGCCGCAUCGCAGGCCUUGAUACCAGAAUCCAAACCCACCUUCACCGUGAAACCAUGUCCUUGCUCCCCAAUUUCAGCAUUGCCCAGCCGAGCACACGCAUUGAACAAGCAAACCAUGCCACGUCGUCCACCAUCACGUCAUCGCUUCGCAUUUCGAUGAACAAACGAAGCCUGGAUUGGAGCAUUCCGUGGUGGCCAAAGCAGCCCAUGAGAACGGUCCAGUCCACGGCGUCUUUGUGCGAGUGGGGAAUUUCAUUGAAACGGCUUGCGUGUAGAGAAUGGACGGGCGUGUGCAGCGUGUGGAAAUGGAGGCGGCAAUUGUGAAGGAAUGAGUCUUCUGAGGCGGCAAGGCCGCCAGUGAUAAUGGCGGCUUGGAGCUUCUUGCCAACGCCGAUGGAGGAUUGGUUCGUGCAUGCUCGGAUGAGAGAACGGAGGUGCUGGUGGGAGUGAUGCCAAGCCAGUGUCUUGGCUUAUUUAAGUUUGAAGUACAAGAUCACGGCGAUCACAUGUUGGAUUUAUCCAAUAUAAAUCAACCUUUAAGUGGUUUACUACAUGUAAUAGGAAUAUAAUAUUGGAGAAUAAUGUUAAUUGUGAUUUGAUCUCUUAAAAUAUCAAUCCUAUAUAAGGUGUCUUAUAUUGGAAUACUUGACUUGGAGGCUAAUAAAGUAAGUUUAGGUUUAUUUUAUGGAUGGAAACCCUAGCUUUUAGCCUAUAUAAAAACACCGGUCCCUAUAAGCCCUAGAACACACAACAUAAUGCUUCCCAUAGAGUAGUUGUAUUCGGCUAGGAGUUUAUAGAAGAUCUUGGUGUUGUUGUGCCCUGCCUGUUUUCGUGUUCGACUUCCAUGGCCGCCGUUGGAAUCAGGUCAGUCACUCAUUCGAUUGUGUUUUAAUUGUAUAAGGCUAACAGUUGGUAUCAGAGCCACUGAUUAUAUAAUUAAAACCUAUUAGGUUUAAUGUUGGAUUAUAUAAUAUUCUCUUGAAUACUCGGCAAGUUUACCAUGUGAUUUGAAUAAGUUCAAUUGUUAAUUAUGAUCAGGUUGCAUAAUUAUUCAGUUUUAAUCAAGAAUAUUUUUCACUAAUAUUAUGGUUGCAGUCAAGGGAAAUUUAUUAAGAACUAUGCUAAUUGAUACCUUGAUUAUUAUCAGCAUGACAAGUUGUCUGAUUAUAGCACGAAUCCAUAAUAUUGUAUGCGGUGUAUUAUAUAUAACCACAUAGCUUUGCUUGCCAAUUGGAAAUUGAACUACGCUUAGAGGUGCUUUUGAUCAAGCAUGAAUUAAAUUAUGGAAUUGAAGCAUAGAAUUUAUAUAAUAUCCUUAUAGUAUUGAAGCAUGAAAUUUAAAAAUCAUAUAGGAAUUGGAAUCCUAUAAUCAUAUAGGAACGUAAAGAAGCAUAUAUGUAAGGCGUGGUAUUAUAUUAUGUAUUUUACAGUGGAAACCAUGGCACUAAGAAGAAUAACAGUUUUGUUCUAUUUCAAUCUUCAUGCUAGUGUUUUGGUUGAAUUGAUUUACCAUGAUCUCAAUUUUUGUAAGCAUUCUAUAUUUGUUCUGACCACACUGAAGAGGUCCCUCCGAUUAGCAAGCAGAACGAAGUCAUCUACCAAAGCAAAAUGGUUUGUUUCAUUGACUUUGAUUUCCAUAAUGGUUUAUGGUAUUUUGGUUGAUAUAUAUUUGGGUUGAUCCCUGAAAGCUUAAAUUGGUAAUAAGAUAAAGCUAUAAUUACAUGAGUGAUGUGCUAAUUAUUGUAGAGUAUGUACAUACAUUGAUUACCAUGUAUCGGUUAAGUAUGUCAUGAAUAUAGAUCCAAUUAUUAUAUAUUUUGGCAAUACGCAUCUCAAUGGGCAUAUGCUUAUUGAAUAAGAACUAAUAUUAUUUUCCAUGAAUUGUAUUCUAUAUGAAUUGCUACGGGUGAUACGUUAUAAUGUGACAAGAAACAAUUGCAUAAGUGCCAGCAAUUGUUGGAUCACGCAAGUAUACAUAAUUUUCUAAAGCCAAUUAUGUAACUACAGUUUGCAUAGCAUGUAUAUGUAUUUACAUUUGUUCUAACCUUGCAUUGGAGAAUUUCUUAAGAUUCCUCAGUCGAACAAGCCCAAUGAAAAGGUUCGUAUUACAUCGGUAUAUGAAAUUCUGGUAUGAUCUUUCCUUUUGGUCUUCAUGAUAAAUUAUAGAGGUAUUCAUCAAUUUCCCCCCUGAACUUGUGACUAUUGGCCAAUUUCCCCCCUCAACUUUAAUUUUGGCCAAUUUCCCCCCUCAACUCUCAUAAUUAAUCAAUUUCCCCCCUCAACUUUAAUUUGGCCAAUUUCCCCCCUCAACUCUCAUAAUUUGUCAAUUUGCACCAUACUGUUAAUUUUUUAAUUUGAUCAUAAUUAAACAAGUGUGUAAGAAACUAAAUAAGAUGUAUGUUAAUCAUUUUCCUAUGUCUUUAUCCUAUUACAAAUAGAUUAAAUUUAGAAUUUUACAAUUUAUCAUAGAUAGUAUUAUUAGUCAUAAUAAAUCAGUAUGAAGUAAUUUUAUUUGAUUUUUUACUAUACAAAAUUGAUAACGAAAAGGAUUGAUGUGUACAUUUUUGUAUGUGAAUACAAUUUUCUUUAUAAAAGUGAAAGCUAAGUUCAAGUAAAUUGUAGAGAAUCGAGCUUUAGUGCAAAAAUGGCUAGUCAAUUCAUAAUUUUCGACUCCUUAUUAAGAAUAACCCAUUUUAUUGAAAUAGGUCUGAUCCAUGAGUUUAGGAUUAUUAUUUCUUCUUCUACAUGCUUUAAACCCGAUUCAUAACUUUUUCUUAUAAUCAACCCAUAUCACAUACUAAUUGUAUUAUGUUUUUAUACAUUUUACCCUAUAUUAUGCAGGUGAGUUUAUGUUCAUUUUAGUACUUUGUUGGAAGUUAUUAGAAAGAUUGAAAGAAAAAAAAAGAAUAGAUGGAAAAUUAAAAAAAUUUAACAGAAGGGGGCAAAUUGACUAAUUAUGAGAGUUGAGGGGGGAAAUUGGCCAAAUUAAAGUUGAGGGGGGAAAUUGAUUAAUUAUGAGAGUUGAGGGGGGAAAUUGGCCAAAAUUAAAGUUGAGGGGGGAAAUUGGCCAAUGUUCACAAGUUUAGGGGGAGAAUUGAUGAAUACCUCUAAAUUAUAUAAGGAAUUGUUAUGUUGGAUUCAUGAAGUGUUAUAUUGUUCCUGCAAAAUCCAACCAUGUCGUGACGUCCUUCUAAUUGUAGGAGACAGAAUUAGUCAUAUCCUAUAAUUUAUCAAUACUAUUGGCAUAUGUUAUGCCUAUGAUUGUAAUAACAUAUAUUACAAUAAUGUUGCAGGGAAGCAUACGCUAAGUUUUAUACAUGUCUGUUAAUGAAUUUGAUAAAAUUCCUAUACAUGAAAGUAAGUCAUACAGAUUUUGGCAACAUUUGUUAAGCAAAUGGCGUGUAUAGUGUUGCUUGUAUGGCUAAUUUGGUUCGAGCAUGAGAUUACGUAUUUUCAAUAUUGUCGUGGGUUUUGGACUAUAGUGACUUGUAGUUUUGUUUCCACUAAUUUUCACAAGAUGAGAAUGAACUUUUAUGCCAUUAUUAGCACAAGAAAUAUGCAUGACUAAUCAAUCAGGUUUGUCUACAAUUUGCUUUCUUAUCUCAAUAGUCAUUUAAAUUAUACAUGACUAGUUAACUAUAAAAAUUGAUGUAUAAUUUGUGGAUUGACUGAGAAUGACAGAAAGCAUCUAGUGACAAGAACAAGAGUAUGAUACAAAUGAAUAAGGUUUGUAGUAAUUAUGUGACAGUUCUCAUUUGUAUUUUUAUUCUUAUAUGAGAAUUUUGGUUGGUCAUGUGAUUAUGUAUAUGUUUACAAAGAAGUGGUGAACAUAUGAAGGUAUGAGGUAUGUAAUCCAUUCAAAAUAUGUGGCUUAAUUGAUAAGCAUGAAUUUUCAAACAUGUAUUAUUGUUUGUGGUUUUUCCUAUGCCUAAAGAAUUUAAACAGUGCUUUGAUUAGUAAUUUUUAUAUGCCAUAAGGGGAGAAGAAAAGAAACUUUUCAAGGUUAAUGUAGGGCAUAUAUUGGAAAUGUUUUCUAUGGAAGAAAAUAAUUUUGGUUGUUCCUUUUAUUUAAUUUGGUAUUUACAAGGCUAAUGCACGAUUUUGAUGCUAAUGUUUUAGGAGCCUUGUACUACGGAAAGAAAGGUACAAAAGAAAAGGAACCUGUUUGACUUAAGAAAACAUUUGAGUGAUUUAGCUUUUAAAUUAAAGGAAUGUAUUGUUCUCUCACAUUACAUAAAGUAUUUCUAAUUGACUCUGUAAUGAUAAAUAUUGACAUUCUUAUGGUGAAAACUUGUUCUAUAUGUGAUUAAUUUUCUUCAAGUAUGCUGUCAGGUUUUUGGGAUUAAUUUAAUAUCAAAGGAAGUCAUGAAGGAAUUAGUGUCAUUUGUUGGCAAGACUCGAAGCUUGAAUCAGGUUAUCCUAUUUUUUGUCACUUAUAGUUAAUUAAUUCAUGUGACUUCUUGUAUUGUUUCAAGGCGGAGUUGACCAAUGCCUUUUCAACUAAGCAAGAUGCAACGGUUUAGUUGACAAUGGGACUAUGUUUUUAAGUUACUUCGGUCAACUUUGCAUCUUAAUUAGAAUAAAAGGGAUAAUCUUCUUGCCUACAGGUGUGUAUUACUUCUUUUAGUUUAAUUCAGAUGGCAUAGUAUGGGUUUUAUUUCACCGAAGUUGUGAAAAUCUUCAUCUUGCCCACAGGUGUUGAAGUUUUUCAUGAAGGUACUUUUGUGACAUAAAAUCUAGUACUAGAAACUAGUUAAUUUUCUUGCCUAUAGGUGUAAAUUAAUUUAGUUUCAUGAAGUUUAUUGGGAUAAAGUUCCAUGCCAUUAGUGACAAAUAUUUCCACAAUGAGCCCCAUAAAAGGUUGUGGGUUGAAGGCAUGGAAAUCGGUUGCAUCAUGACGUAUUUUGUGUCUCUUCAUGAGACUUGUUGAUGCAAAGUAUUGGACCCAUGAAGGUUAAUCAAGGAUUGCUAAGGUACUCAUUGUUUAAAUCUUAUGCUUGUAAAUCUUUUCAAUUUGAACUAUGAUGUCGGCUUAGAGGAUGAAAUUUGACUACUAAAGUUUCCUUUGGACAUUGAAAUUGAAAUGAUAUGCAAUUGAAUUUGUUAUGGAUGCAUAAAUUCAUGAUAGAUGCACAUAAUUGUUUCUGGCAGAUUACGUGUCUUGAUUUAAAUCAGGUAAAUGACACAUCUAAUGGUCACCAAAUGACCUGAAUUUUGGAUAUAUUCAACAUAUAUAUGUCUACUAUAUGUCUGCAAAUUUUCGUAAUUUUUUUCCAUGUAUUUUAAUUAUGGUGAAUUUACUAGUAACCCAUGCUCGUAUAGGCAGUUUUACUGGCCAAUUGUGUUGGUCUUUUUGAAGGAUGACUUUAGACUACUAUUUUGAUCCAAAACGGCUCUAUAUUUUUAUUUUAUGAAGAUUAGUAUGUCUAUUUUGAUAAGUAUAAAUUUGGUAGAAAUCAAGCUUGUAAAUUAAUUAUGAUAAAUUCUAAAGUAAGUGUAACUCAUUGCUGAAAUUUUGUUUGACAACUUUAUGUUGGUUGAGAUGUCUAUUUUAUUAUGUCUAAAAUAUAUAGCAAUUUUCUUCAGGUACAUCUCUGAAAGAAUAUAUUAAUGAGUGUUUGCCCAAGUGGGAGAAUUAGUGAACAAAAAUUGGGCUUCACACUCAUUAACUUAUUUGCAAGUAUAAACUCUGAAAACUUAGUGGGAGUUUUUGAGCAUUAAGCGGAUUUGCAUAAAUUUAUUAAAGCGUUAUUCUAUCUUCCAUGAAUUUUUGUUACUCGAAUAAUAAUAAUAUGUUUAAGUUGUAUGAAUGGCUACUUAGUAUAUGCGUACAUUUUUCUGUUACUUGCAAUCAUUUGGAUUUCUUGGUUGAUCAUUGUUUUGAGGCUCAUAAGGACUUAGCAUAAAUGUGGACUUAUUAAUACAUAGAAGAUGGUUGUUGGAUGCAUGUUUUUGUGUAACAGUGAUGAAUGCUUUCGUGCUUAAUUGUACCUUUCAUUGAGGUAAUAUGCAUUCAUUGACUAAGUAAGGCUAUUCCCAAAGGCAUAUUUUCAAAAAUAUGACUAAAGUAUUGAUUUGCAAAUUAAGUGAUGAUGUUGCAUAUCAGUAGGGGUUUGAGUUUCGUGUUAGUAAUGCCUUACAUUUGCAGAUGACCUAUAAGGUAUGUAUAGAAUCCAUGUAUUCUUUUUAAUCUCCAGUUGGAUUCAUUAAGUCACUUUUUUCGUGUGCUAGUCAAUUAUCUGAUGAAAUAUAUAUCAGAUAUCAAGUUGUUAUCAAAUUGCAUAUUAAAUGGCAUGACAUGGUUUAUGCACUACCUCAGUUGUGAGGAUUUCCAUCUUGCCCGUAGGUGUUGGAAAUCACUAUGAAAGUAACUGGUAUGAUGCAUAGAUCAGUGUCAAAAACAUAUUAAUUCAUCUUGCUCACAAGUGUUGAAUUAAUUUGUUUUAUAAAGUUUUUGGGAUAUUUUACCUGGACAUGUGCCUAUUUGGUAUUUUCAGUUGUGUCCGUUGGCCACAAACAUUGUUUGUAUUAUUACUGAUCUAAUGAAAGUUAUGCAUGAUUGUUUUGGAGAUGUUUCACCACCAGGUUAUGUUGGCUUCAUUAGAUGAAGGAUAUUUGCAUUGGCAGAUUUUAAGAAGAAGAGCACAUAAAGUGUAAUUGGUGUGUUAAGAGUUCACAACAAGGUAGACCUGAGAUGAUUAAUAAAGUAAGACAUUUUGGUUAAUUUAAAAGUUUCAUCUCUUGAUCAUAAUUUGUGUUUCAAUGUGAAUGAGGAUCUUAGCCAUUGUGAUUAUGAAGGUUCUGGGCUGUGUCAACCUACAACCUUGUUAGUUCCAUGUUUGUUAAGAAAUGCAUUUGACAGAAAUUGCAUUAAUCACUUAGAUGUAAAUGUGUUACAUUGUAACUAAUAUGUGACAUGACUUUGCGAGCAUCUGUAUUUAUGAAAGUUGAUCCUUUUUUGUAGACCCAAAAUAAAACCUUUAAGUUCUCCAUUUAGAAUGUACCAUAGAGAAAAAAUGAAUUAAUUGUGAUCUCUAAACUACAUAUCAAUAAUAAGGUAAUAAUAUUAGGGAAUAAUGAAUUUAUUUCCUUAAUAAGUGAUAUCAGACUAAUAUAAAGUAUUUGUUUGGUAAAUUGGAAAUGAUUUGAUGGAUAACCAAGAUAUUAAUAAUUUAGUGUUACUAUUUAGGAAAUAAUAUUGAAGAAUAAGUUAAUGUGGUUUCUUUUAAAGAUAUCAAAUGUAGCUAUAUUAAAUUAUAGAUAAAAUCCUUAAUUGAAUUCUUUGAUAGCUAUAGGCAUAUAAAAUGAUGGUGCGUUCAGAGUUUGUUUAUUCUGUAUGAGCUUUACCUAAGCCAAAUCUAAAAGGGAAAGAAUUAGAACCUACAUGUUUACAUUGUUUCUUGUUUAACUUCCAUAGCCGUUGUUAUAAUCAGGUCCACUCAUUUGAUUUGUGUUUUACAUAUAUCCCAUACUAACGCUGUUCUGGAACACCAUGUGAUUGAAUCAAGAAAUGAAACUAAAUCUUAUGGAAAAAAAAGCCAUAAAUUGAAUUCCUUAGUGUUAUCCAUUCGAUCUGAAGCCACCCAUUGUUUAUAACAAAUUCUUUAUUAGAAAUAAUGCCAUACUGUUUAUAAAAUUUCUUUUUGAAAACUCGACAUGGAUAACAAACAGAUAGUCAAAUCCAGUGACAUCAUAAUUCUGCAUAGGAAUUCCACACACAAGUCAGCAUCAAAAUCACAAUUGUAAGUGUCAUAUUCAUCAGAACAAAGUCAAAAUGAUAGAAUGAGCAAAUUAUUUUUUUUAUUUAUUUUCUAAAAAAAAGCAUUAUUCUAUUUAAGAUAAGUGAUGAGAAUAUAACAUGCAAGUGAAUUAUCAUCAAGUAAAUAGCAUUGCUCUGAAAUUCUUGCGUACGGUGUUUUUUUUUCUAGAACUGUAACGCAAUUUGGAGAAUUAUUGAGCAUUAAAAACACGCUGAUUUGUUGUUAAUUGCAAAGAUUUGUUUAUUCCAACAUCAUUAGACAAUAACCAUAGGUCAUACAAAAUAGGCCGUCUCGUAUAACAAUAAUUGUAACAUUUAAGUUCCUGAAGAAUGAUCAGAUAUGCUCCAUCAUGUUCUGUCUUGAAUAAUCAUUUUGCAUUGGUUGAUCAAUGUAUUGGGAGGAUUAAAACAUUAAAAUGUAAAUGACAUCGUAGUAAGUUGGCAACAUUGAUAUGUCAGUAGAUUAUUUUGUUGAUAUGUAUUAUUGAAAUCGUAAUAAAUUAAUCUAAUAUCUUACUUUGUUCCUAAAAAUAAUAAAAUUUUAUCAUUGACAAAGUAUGCAUUAAUCAUCUUUAUAUUUAGGCAAUCAAAAAGUGAGUUGUAUUUAAUUUAAUUCUCAAACCUUCCUCAGAUGUGAAUAUAUCCUGUAAUAAUCAAUGUAAUGUUUUUUCGUGGCGUAAAACGAUUCUGUGUCCUCAAUAGAAUAAUGAUUAGAAAUUCAGAUUCAACAUACUAUGAAACCAAUCUCCCAUAAUAAAUUAAUGGUGAAGUCAAUAUUUGAUUUGAAAUGGCUUUUCCUCAUGUGAACAUGUAUUUUUAUGAAAUCUUUUUGACAGCGCGCAAGGUUAACAUCACAAUGACAAGAACCGCGAUAACCGUGCCAAUAAGCCACUUGUUCCUGAACAUACUCCUUCCCAUGGAAGUCAGAACUCUCUUGCUUUUCCCUGUGUUGUCAUCCACUCCAUGAAGCUGCAGCAAAAGGAAAAAAACAGUUAGAUAAAUGAAAUGCCAUUCUAGCAAGAUCAUCGCCCUCGCCAAAGCAGUUAUAUCAAUAACUUUCUCUUUUUGAAAAACUUGUUUUCGGUACAGGACCAUGGAUACACAUAGGCACAUGCCGCACAUCACUCUCCUGAGAGACUAACACUAAUAAUAGUGAAAAGAAGAUUGAGUAAAUCAUGUUCAUAAGGUGAUAAUCUCCAGAGUCCAGAUGCACAUCAGCAUAUUGUUGGUCGGUCCUAAUUUUAUUGGAAGAAAUCGUAGAAAUGUAGUAGUAAAAAUAUAAUGAGAGUAGUAUUAUUCUUAUUUUAUUUUAUACAUAUAAGAGCGUUAAAUUUAUAAUAAUAUCUUACUUCUAAAAAUAUAAUGAGAGUAGUAUUAUUCUUAUUUUAGUAAUCAAGCAAAGUGAGUGGCGUAUUUAAUUUAUAUUCUCACCUUCCUCAUAAGUGAAAUAGAAAUGCUCUGAAAUUCUUCGCGUACGGUGUUUGUUUUCUCGUAUAGAACGGAUUGUUAGAAAUACAUUAAUGACAUGUCAAUACGUUUUGUUGGCAACAUUGAUAUGACAAAGCAUUAUUCAUUAUAAAAACAGGCGCUUGCGUAGGGUGCUUGUUUCCUGGUAUAGAACAAAUUGUCAGAAAUGCAUCAAUAACAUGUCAAUACACUUUGUUGGCAACAAUGAUACGACAAAGCAUUAUUCAUUACAAAAACGGGCGUUUGCGUAAGGUGCUUGUUUUCUCGUAUAGAACGGAUUGUCACAAAUGCAUCAAUAACAUGUCAGCGCUUUGUUGGCAACAAUGAUAUGACAAAUUUUUAUUCAUUACAAAAACGGGCGUUUGUGUAGGGUGCUUGUUUUCUCGUAUAGAACGGAUUGUCACAAAUGCAUCAAUAACAUGUCAAUACCCUUUGUUAUCCACAAUGAUAUGACAAAGCAUUAUUCCUUAGAAAAACAGGCGUCUGCCCCAUCUCACAGAUUAGGGUUCUAGAAUGCCAGCAAAACAAAAGCGUGCUUAAAACCAUGUUUGCGUAUGGCUUUGGUUUCCACCCAUGUAUCCCGGGUUUGAAACUCCCUUGUCCCCCAAAUUGUUGUUGUAGUUUUGAACCCUCUCCCUCCCCUUAAUAAUAAUAAUUUAAAAGAGAAAAUUAAUAUUUGAAUGAAAUCUUGCUGUGAUACUCUCUUGACUCUUUAGACUUUUCGGUUUCCCUAUGUCUUUCUUGUACAAGUUAGAGUUCCAUACUUUCUAAUGAAACGUUUUAUAACUUAUCUGAUUGAAACUUGAUUGUGUUACGAUUGAUGAUUUUUUUUUCUUUUACUUCAAGAGGUCGCACUUGGUGCGAUGGCAAGUGCCUUCGCCCAUAAGCGGUAGGUCUCGGGUUCGAGACUUGGGAGCAGCCUCUCCAUAAAUGGGGGUAAGGUUAGCCGACAUUCACCUCUCCCAGACCCUGCGUAAAGCGGGAGCCUUGUGCACUGGGUACGACCUUUUUACUUCAAAAACCAACCCUGUUUUCUUGAAUUGUUGCAGAUGUGUAAUCACUGGAAAUGGUGGGACUUCAUAUGCAUAUCUGGGACGACCGUGGGGACCUUUUGGAAGAGUCGUUUUUGCAUAUACAUUUAUGGAUGGAUGCAUCAGACAUGUAGGAUGGAAUAAUUGGGGUAAAACAGAGAAUGAACGAAGUGCUUGCUUUUAUGAAUACAGGUAUGCAUACUUUAGUCCAUCUGCAUAGUACUUCUAUUCUACAGCGACUGCGUUCGGUGGAACGUUGUCUUAUCAAACCAAACUAUGGACAUGGACUACAAUAACUUCGGAGAAACGUGGUGUCUUAUCAAACCAAACUAGUUUGUUUUUAGAUGGUUCAUGUGGGGUACCUAAAAGUAAAAUUAAACAGAGCUGAGAACGGAAAGAUGUUUACUUUAAUUGGGUUCACCAUGCCUUUUUUUUUCGGAAGAAUAUUCCCUCUCAAGCUUGUGGCUUUGUUUACCUGCUCUUGCGCGUAACAACUUCUUGAAGUAGUGAUUGUUGUUUUGAAAUUUAAAGUUUCUUUCGAGUUCGUGAGUAGAGGCAGAGUUUGACAAGCUUGCAUCGUUGAAUGAAAAUUGCAGGUGUUUUGGACCGGGCAGUUGCCCAUCGAAACGGGUGACAUGGGCUAGAGAACUGGUAGACGAGGAAGCAGACCAGUUCCUCCAGCAUCGUUUCAUCGACCCAGAUCCAGGAAGGCCUUGGCUUGCCCAGAGAAUGGCCCUAAGAAUACCAUAUUCUGCCUAGGAGUGAAAACAUGGGAAAGAUUCCUCAUAAAGUUAGUCGAGUAUACUGAAAUCAUUUUACGACGAAAGAAUAAGAUAUGCACUAUAUUUCAAGAUGCCCGAGGCGUUACAAGGCCAUUUUUAGCGUUUGAGCUUCGUAACCCGGCCGAUGUAAUUGCUUGUUUCAAAGACUUUAUGUUUUGAUUUGGCUAGAUUUAUCCAGGAUAAUAUAGAUAGGGAUGGGCAAAUACCCAUGGGUUAUGGGUAAUCGUUUACAUAAAUAAACGGUUAUGGGUAUAACCGUUUACCCGUGAAAUUUAAAUAAGCGGUUAUGAGUAUUAGCCACGGUUAUAAACGAGUACCCAUUUAACCAUUUAUUUUAAUAUAUGUAAAACAAAAAAAAAAUUAGUUUCUAGCUAAGUUUAGUAUCCCGAGACAUAUAUAUAUAUAGAUGCGCCUCACGUGAGAGAAAAAUAUAGUUGAUAGAACAGACCAAUGUUUAAUAUAUGUGAUUGAAUGUCCUAAAGCAUUAGAGUGUUUGACAAUUUUGUUUUGGAGUCUUUUGGAGCUUUGGCCAAUUCAAGAUAAUGAUUACCUUGAACUUUUAGAAACAUGUUAUUGUCGGCUCAUGCAUACCUAUAUAUAUAUAUAUAUGUGUGUGUGUGUGUGUGUGUGUGUGUGUAUGUAUGUAUGUAUGUAUGUAUAUUUAAUUGGCCUCGAGUUUUCAAUAAAUAUUUGACCCAAAAAUUAGAAAUCAAUUAAAUGGCUUGGAUCGAUGAACAUAUGUUUCUAGAUAAAAAUCCAAAUGUUUAACAAAUUAGCUUAUUAGCAGACUGAUGCAUACUUACAUACAUACAUAUAUAUAUGUAUGUAUACAAGAAUAUUAAUUAAUCUACAAUCAUGCACGAUUCUUGUAAUACAGUAAUAGAUUGACCGCCAAAUAAUUGGGAGACAUCGCAUAUAUUCAUAAAUAAUAUUGCCAUUAAUACAAAAAUUCAUAUUAAAUGUAUUUAUAACGGUAUUUAAUUGUUAGAAAAAGAAAAUUAUGACAAAUUUCUUUUUAAUUUUCAAGUUGUUUAAAAAAUAGGUAGACGAGUGAAAAAAAGAGAGUAAAUGGGUUUAAAAUGGGUAAACGGGUACGCGGUUAUGGUUAAAUGAGUACGCGGUUAUGGGUAAAUGGGUAUGCGGUUAUGUGUAAAUGGGUAUGCGGUUAUGUGUAUGGUUAUCCAUUUAUAAACGGUUAUGGGUAUGGGUAUACCCGUUUAUGUAAAUACCCAACGGGUUAAAGGUUAUGCGGGUAAAAGCUUAAAUGGUUAUGGGUAAAUAAUCGCGGUUACCUGCCCACCAUAACCGUUACCCAUCCCUAAAUAUAGAUAAACGUGUUCCAUUCUUUGAUUUCACUUUCAUCCUUGGCCUUCAACAUGGAUAGUUUAUGUUAUUACAGUAAUGAAUAACUUUUUUAGAGUGUCAAUUAGAUUUUUUUUUUUAUCUUAAACGAGUCGUCUGUCACAAAAAACACAUUCAUGGAUACAUGUUAUGGCUAGGAAGAGGAUCUUUUCUGGAUCCAUUUUGUAGGGAUCUCCACUUCUUAAUUGUUUAUCGUAUAUCAUGCGGUUAGUUUUCGUCAGAUAUUAUUUGUGUUUACUUGUAAAUGAAAAAAAAGUCAAAUGAUUUCUGACAGCACGAUACAUGAUGAAUGAUUAAAAUGUGAAAUUUUUUAAGAUUCCCACAAAGUGAAUCCGGAUGAGAUCUAAUUCCGGACAUGGAAAUCUUGUCCUAGGCCUCACUAGUCACCUUCACCAAUCACACCAUCACAUACAUCCAAUUGGAAAAAAAAUGUUAAAUCUUUGAGCUUGAUACCGUAAACACCAUCAUCAACUUCCAUCAAAUGCCAACGAGAUUCUCUUUGGAUUUUUUUUGAUGAGGAUCUUAGAGAUCCGUAAAUUGUGUCCGUUCAUCGUACAUCGUGUGAUUAGUUUUUAUCAAGUAUUGUUUGUGUUUAAUUUUAAAUAAAAAUAUUUAAAAUGAUUUAUGAUCUCAUCACGAUGUAUAAUGAACAGACACGAUUCAUUGAUCUUCAGGAUCCUCACAAAGAGGAUCCGGAUUUCAUCAAAUGCACUUCCCCAGUUUGUACUUGGCUCCCAGCCCACAUGAACGACUCGAGACUUGAAUCAAUAUUCCUUGCUUCAUGUAAAAAAAAUUUGUCAUCGAAAAUAUUUCAUCCCUAAUUGCUUUUCAAUUUAGUAACCAAGCAAAGUGAGUGGCGUAUUUUAUAUUCUCACCUUCCUCAUUAGUGAAAUGGAAAUGCUUGGAAACCCUUUGUGUACAGUGCUUGUUUUCUCAUAUAGAACAAAUUGUCAGAAAUGCAUCAAUGACAUAUCAAUACGCUUUGUUGGCAACAAUGAUAUGACAAAGAAUUAUUCAUUAUAAAAACGGGCGUUUGCGUGGGGCGCUUGUUUUCUCGUACAGAAUGAAUUGUCAGAAAUGCAUCAAUAACAUGUCAGUACGCUUUGUUGGCAACAAUGAUAUUGACAAAGCAUUAUUUUAGCGUUUGAGCUUCGUACCCCGCCCGAUGUAAUUACUUGUUUCAAAGACUUGAUGUUUUGAUUUGGCUAGAUUUAUCCAGGAUAAUAUAGAUAAACGUGUUCCAUUCAUUGGUUUCACUUUCAUCCUUGGCCUUCAACAUGGAUAGUUUUUGUUAUUACUUUUCUUAUGAUGAUUAAAAUUCUUUUGUCCGUUCGAUGUAAAUCCAACUGUAACACGAUACUCAACAUAUAUUUUACAAAACUGUUAUAGGGUGCGUUUGUUGUACCCGAUUAUUUCGGACUAGAUUAGCUUUAGGGACUAAGCCGGACUAGCUUGACUUGGACUAAGCAAGAUAAAAACAGUGAAGUAUUUGGUGCAAUACUGGAUUAAAUCACUGUUGGCCCUAGAAACUACCAAGCCUACGUGGCACGCAGGCCGAGUAAUCUAUAAGCUAACUACGUCCUUUGGUGAAUGUGGGGCGUGCCAACUCGUCGGCCGAGGAGUAAAUUUUGUUGAUGUUGCGUUGGGUGCGCAGCUGACUUCUGCGUCUUGCGAUUGCGGCCGAGAAAGGAACACGUCUCGGCCUCUUGGGCUCUCGAACCUGAAGACAAGGUUACUAUUCUUACGAAGUUCAAUAUCAAAUUCGGCUCUCAAUGUGCCGAAUGUAAUAACUGUAACACCUCACUUUGCCGAGAAGGCUGAUGAGAUGACCUCGACCAAAAAGGAUUCAGAAAUCCUUCUCGACCGAGACUUGGAUAGGUAAUCAACCGUCAUCGCCGCAGUGCUGUUGAUGCCAACGGAAGAUGCUGCGAGACCGUCUGAUUCUAUGGUGACAGAGCUAUCUAUGCCGACUUAAGAUAUCACCGGUUGCUUUCACAGUGCUGUUGAUGCCAACGGAAGAUGUGUCAGCGAAAAAGAAAAAAAAAAUCUCAAGUUGUUGAGUUUGCGCAGGGCAGUUUUGUAUUGAUUUGCAGGUCCCUUUUCCGUUGCCACUGCAUCUGUAUUUAUAGUUCACCAGUAACCCUAAGAUUGUCGUCGCAAAAAAUAAUAGGAAUAUUCUCCUUCAAAUAUGCAGGAUCCUGCCUGGCGUCGCCUUGAUGAUUUCGUAGAAACCAACUAGAACUCAAACUGAUCAGUUGCAUAAGCUUAAAGCCUAUCUUUUUAGAUGUCAUUAAUACUCCUUAUUUUAUGCUAAUAAUUAGCAUGCAACAGCCUAUCUGAUGACCUUCACGGUGCUGGAAUCAAGGCAUGCAAGUUUAUCCCUCAACCAUGUAUUUCAACAGGUCUCCGCAAUAAAGGGGCACUUGACUCUUGAUCUUUCCACAAAGCUGUCCAGGUGCAAUCAUGCACUCCACAUGUAUGCAUGUUGACCACCAACUCAAUAUAGUCACCAUAUUCCAAGAAAAAUCACGCCACACCCCCCAUCCAUAAAUUCCAAGUCAAAUUGACUUGUACCACCCACUCUUGUAUCAGAAAUAGAACUCAGGCUUUGAGAAUAAUUUGCCACGCAGGAGAUUUCAUGAAUAUUAAAUUCAUUAUCUUCAUUAUCUGAAGUUGUGCGUAUUUAUCUCUAAUAAGAAAAGUGUCAAGAUAAUUCAUUAUUAAAGAUAACUAUUAUGAUUAAAAAUCAUAAUAUUAUCCUAACUUUUCUAUCUGACGGUGUGGAGCUAUGCUUACUCAACGGCCUCGAUUACUUGGGCCGAUGAUGUAAAAUCGGGUCCAAACAUUGCCCCCCAGCAAAACAAAAUGAGUAUGAUUCUCUCCCCUCUUUUUUUCCCUCCCAUUCCCUCCCCUCCUAUUUGAACGGUCACGGUUAAGCCACUAUAUUAAUUUUUAUAGCAAGAAAAAGACAAAAUAAGAGAAUGUGAGAGGAAUUGAUGAAAGAGGAUAGGAAGAGAAAAGGAGAGAAUUAUAGUCCAAAACAAAAAGGUGCUUAAAACCAUGUUUGCGUACGUAUGAUAAGAGUCGAAUAUGCUGACUCAGAGCACAAUGCAGAAGCAGUUGCUGCAUGUAGUAAUAACACGUGGAGCUGAUGGCCCAUGAGAAGGAAGUGUGAUUGAAAAUGCUGCGACUUUUUUUCCCUUGCCUUGUUUCAUAAACAAAUGACAUGUGAUAUCCACAGACAUUUUUUUACUUCUUUUACACCUCUUGUUAAUUUUUGUCCUUUGAUUUUCUUUAAUUCAUCCGUUCCGACAGCCGAAAAUUAAAAAGGUGUGAGAGAAGUAAAAACGGGUAUGUGGAUAUCACACCCCUAAACAAAUAUGUCCACCAAACCUUGAAGAAAUAUCUGAUAUAAAAAUUACCCCUGAAACACACCGGUUGUCUUACGCGCGAGCAGUGAACAAUCAUUCUUUAAUCAAGCCAAAAGUGUCCAAAAAAGGUAACAAAUUCCAAAUUAUCUCAUCCAUUCUCAUCUUAGGUAACUACUUUAUAACCUACAAAUUAUUCCAUAUAAAUGGAGAUUAAUUGGCUAAUUAAUGGUUAAAUCCUAAUUAAUCCAUUAAUCACCAAUUAAAUCACUCAUUUUCACACAAAAAACCUCUAAGGGCCGGCCACCUCCAUUCCCUAUAUAUAUGACCUUAUUUUUUCUAAAAGAGGAGACCCACACUCUUGCAAAACUCCCAAAAACUCUCCAAACACUUUUCUCUCUAAAUUCUAACUUUGGCAUCAGAGGCUUUUCGGCUAAAGCCCCCCCCAUUCAUUGUGUGCACGUGAGGCUCUUGGCCUUGACCAAAUGUGUUGAUUGUUUUGUAGAUGCAAUUUUGUCAAAGAAGGAGAAGGAAAAUUUGCAUCCACAAAUUGGUGCUUUCAUUGAGAGUUGAGUCCCACACUUGUAGAAGACUCUCGCAUCCAAGGUUUUCUAUUUUCUUGUCCAUUUGUAGAUUUUUCGUACGUUCUUAUUAUUAGAAUUUUUUAUUUGCAAAAAUUCUUUGAUAAAACGUAAAAGAGAAGUAUAAUGGCUAGAAAUUUAGAAAAUUCAACAAAUAAAAAUUUCAACAUUCAAGAGAUGGGACCACGGCGAUCUAUGAGGCUAAAUGUGACAAUAGGUGGAAUGACACCACCACCACCACGAGUUUCCACCACAGGAACCACCGCGAUGGCUACCAUGGUAGCCACCCGCGACGAGGUCCAUGGUUUCACCACCAUGGCCCAAGCUGUGCAAUCCAUGGUGGCUCACGGCAUUAAAGCCACAGCCCAAGUUAUGUCACUCCACGCCCAACGCGUUGCCAAGCCGAGCCCAAGCCUCACACCCUUGUGCCUCGUACGCUGAGCAGCCCACUCUCGUGGCCCAGCCUGCUCCUGCCGAGCAGCCCACUCUUAUGGCCUAGUCUACUCCUGAGGCCCAGCCUGCUUCCGCGGCAUUCCAAGUAGCCCAAAUCGGCCCAAGACUAUCUCAACCAUUUGGACCAAUUAUCAAGUCGAGGGCAUUUUUACCAUAUUUCCCUAUGGAUUUGACAUUUCCCAACUCAAAUCUCAUGCCUGGAGUCUAUUACACUUCCACUGCUCAAGGAGGCACAUUCUUUCCAAGCUCUUCCAAUCUAAAUGGCGAACAACACUUGUCUCGACAAGUCAUACAGUUGACGAGCGCCCUUGCACAAUAAACGACCUUGGUGAAUCAACUUUUGCAACCCACCGAAAUCCAACGUGCCGUGGACAAGGUAUCCCGAAGUAGGACAAGGGCAGACGAACCUUUCCAGCAACGUCUCGGCCAACAGCCACUCGACCAGCCACGAGUCGAGCGUUUGGGUAGUGUACAUUCCCAAUUAGGCCUCCGAGAUAACAUAUACUCCCGUCUUAAAGUGUUGAAGAGCGUGCACUCUUGACUAGGUCCGAGGAUAAGUAUACACUCACGGUUGGGGCCACAUUCUGAUAAUCAACAUGAGCAACCUUCCAGGCAAAGGGUUCAUUCGCGGCAAGGCCCGCAAUGAGCAUCCUUCACUUCACAUCGAAAUAGGUAGCACAACAGAAUGAGAUAAGUAGUCACUCAACCCGGCUCAAGUUCAACCAUUAACCUGUGAGUUACUCGCUCUCUUGCUAGGAGCAAACCACACCGAUCGCAGCUGAGGCAUAGAUGAGCCGAACAUAUGGAAUAGUAGCCUAGACCAGCAGGUCAUAAUCGGGGGUAGCCAAGGGCUCUGCCACCCCAACAAAGGUAAAUUCAGGAAGAAGUAGAAAUACUUUGAACGAGCGAUUGCGCGAUUUCCCACGCAAUGAAGCUAUUUACAAGACAUGACCAACAUAAUCAAGUCAUCUUUCAAUGAUAAGAUCGAGCGGAUAAGACUAUCCCACAUAGAAUGUCAAAUAUAAAGACUUCUUCUGUUCUGACAAAACGCAGUAGCUUAGCCUAAUGGCACUUCAGAGGCAGACGAGUACCAGAAGGACAUACCAACCCAAUUAUCAAGAAUUGGGGGCAUGCCUUGUUCUCAACACUCUAGAAAAUUCUUCAUGUUGCGCACAACCUGGCCCAAACCAGCCUCAUCUCUGUUUUGACAACCAUGUUUACCUACUCCAUGGCUCCCGACAACCAUUGAUAUUAGCACACGACGAAACACCUAAUAAUGGCACAAUAAUUCUGGGAGCAGCUCACUGCGUUUGCACCUUUACGCGAACUCCACAAGUAGUUCGAAAUUUCAAGAAGAUCGCCAAACAUGACCCGCAGGCUAAGGAUUAUUUCGGUUGUCCCAGCAGUCCAGUUUUCCUCAGUUGCACUCACGAUAACGACUUCCAUGCUCUCCAGUGCGAGAGGAUAAACUAAUUGCUCUCCAGUGCGAGAGGGUAAACCAAUUCCCCGACACCCGUAUGGGUCUGCUCUCCAAUGCAAGAUGAUAAACCAAUUGCUCUCCAGUGCGAGAUGGUAAACCAAUUCCCCGACAUCCGUAUGGGUCUGCUCUCCAGUUCGAGAGGAUAAACUAAUUGCUCUCCAGUGCGAGAGGGUAAACCAAUUCCCCGACACCCAUAUGGGUUUACUCUCCAGUGCGAGAGGAUAAACUAAUUGCUCUCCAAUGCGAGAGGGUAAACUAAUUGCUCUCCAGCACGAAAGGGUAAACUAAUUGUUCUCUAGUGCGAGAGGGUAAACUAAUUGCUCUCCAGUGCGAGAGGGUAAAUUAAUUGCUCUCCAGUGCGAGAGGGUAAACAAAUUCCCUAAUACCCAUAUGGGUGUACUCUCCAGUACGAGAGAGUAAAUUAAUUGAUCUCCAGUGCGAGAGGGUAAACUAAUUGCUCUCCAAUGCAAAAUGAUAAACUAAUUCCUUGACACUAAUCUGGGUAAGCUCUCUAGUGCGAGAAGGCCACAUAGCUUAAAAGAUCGAAUGCUUGAAGAUCAACUAGGCAACAAAUGGUCAGAGGGUAGCAACCACUUUUGCACUUAACAGUUCACUCAUCCGACACUUCAUCUUCAGUAACUCUGAUCUUAGCAGCUUCAUCAUUGACUGCUCCAUCUAUGGCAGUUGAAAAAUCAAACUUAAACAGUUUCCUAAUUUUUAGCCGGCAGCACAGACGUGGCAACCCAAACAAUUGCCUAUUCCACGCCACUUCCACAGCUCAUGUCGAACCAAUCCUUGGCUUCAAUCAAGCCGAGCUGCUCAAGCAAUGGCCCUUGCCACAUCACCUUCUUGGUCCAUGCCAAGACGACUCCUGGCCCCUGCCAGUCAACGUGCCGCACCACCCCGACGACUGCCCCAUGGCAGCACCACCCAAGAAGAAGACAAGAAGAAAUUAAGUUUUUAUUACAUUGGUGCGGCACGGAGAAGACGAAGAAAGCAACGAAAUGCAAUCUUUUGCACAGGCAAGAUGUACAAGAUUGCUAGAGGAGGGGGAACAAAUAUCAUCUAAGCUCUCUCUCUCUCUUGUAAGGUAGAAUAAAUCACUCUCCAAAGUUGAUUUAAUAACCCACUUAAGGUGGAUUUAAAUAGGUUUUGAGAGAAAUUUAUUUCCCUUUCCUAGAAUGAUCUAAUUUGAUAUUAAAAAGGGAAUAUACAUCAAAACAGGAAGCAGUCCUAAGUUUCCUAGAGUAGGAAGAUCUCUACACCUGCUGCCCUUUCUUACGAGCAGCCCAGCAUGUGUGGGGGCAUUUGUGGAGCCAAAAAUAAUCACAAGGCGACACGUGGAUUUUUGGUAAAAAUGACAAAGUUACCCCUGAGACACACUGGUUGUCCUAUGAGCGAGCAAUGGACAAUCAUUCUUUAAUCAAGCCAAUAGUGUCCAAAAAAGGUAACCAAUUCCAAAUUAUCUCAUCCAUCCUCAUCUUAGGUAACUACUUCAUAACCUACAAAUUAUUCCAUAUAAAUGGAGAUUAAUUGGCUAAUUAAUGGAUUAAUUCCUAAUUAAUCCAUUAAUCACCAAUUAAAUCACCCAUUUUAACACAAAAAACCUCUAAGGGCCGGCCGCCUCCAUUACCUAUAUAUAUGACCCUAUUUUUUCUAAAAGAGGAGGUCCACACUCUUGUAAAACUCCCAAAAACUCUCCAAACACUUUUCUCUCUAAAUUCUAACUUUGGCAUCAGAGGUUCUUCGGCCAAAGCCCUCCUCAUUCAUCGUGGGCGCAAGAGGCUUUUGGCUUUGACCAAAGGUGUUGAUUGUUUUGUAGGUGCAAUUUUGUCAAAGAAGGAGAAAAUUUGCAUCCACACAAAAGAUUUGUUGUCCAAAAUAUUUCAUCUCUAACCGCUUUUCAAUUUAGUAAUCAAGCAAAGUGAGCGGCGUAUUUUAUAUUCUCAGCUUCCUCAUCAGUGAAAAGGAAAUGCUUGGAAAUUCUAUGUAUGGUGCUUGUUUUCUCGUAUAGAAUAAACUGUCAGAAAUGCAUCAAUAACAUGUCAAUACGCUUUGUUGGCAACAACAAUAUGACAAAGCAUUGUUCAUUACAAAAACAGGCAUUUGCGUGGGGUGCUUGUUUUCUCCUAUAAAAUGAAUUGUCAUAAAUACAUCAAUAACAUGUCAAUAUACUUUGUUGGCGAUACAAAGCAUUAUUCAUUAGAAAAACGGGCAUCCGUCCCAUCUCACGGACUAGGGUUCUAGAAUCCCAGCAAAACAAAAAACGUGCUUAAAACCAUGUUUGCGUACGUAUGGUAAGAGCCGAAAAUGCGGACUUAGAGCACAAUGCAGAAGCAGUUGCUGCAGGAAUAACGCGUGGAGCUGAAAUUGCUGACUUAGAACAAACAGUGGCACAUGGGAAGGAAGUGUGAUUGAAGAUACUGCAACUUUUGUUUCCCUUGCCUUGUUCCAUAAACAAAUAUGUCCACCUGCUAACCUUGAAGAAAAAUAUGAUAUUAAAAUUAAGCUCAAGUGUAAUAUGGUCAAGGAAAAUGGGUGAGUUUGCUGCUGCUGCUGGUCUUUUUUCUGUAGGGCACUGCCAACCCUUGUUCUUUCCUGGUAGCGGAAUGUGUUUCGGGCCGGAAAAUAUAGUGUGUAAGCCGAUCAGGAAGCAGGAGAGUAUUUGCCGUGCCAAAGCGGUGUUAAAAUCGAAGAAAACGAUGCAGCAUAGGGAGCCUUUAAACUUUUACUUUAGAUAUACAUUUGAUGCUCCUCUCAAUGAGUCACCUGCAGUACUAUAUUCAUCUCUCUCUCUCUCUCUCUCUCUCUCUCUCUCAAACAAAAGAACAAUCACUC
rnacentral:lncRNA from 1 species